rnacentral:siRNA from 1 species
CUCAUUAGCAUGUGGCCAGUGU